rnacentral:rRNA from 1 species
UCCGUAGGGGAACCUGCGGAAGGAUCAUUACCGAGUUGAUUCGAGCUCCGGCUCGACUCUCCCACCCAAUGUGUACCUACCUCUGUUGCUUUGGCGGGCCGCGGUCCUCCGCACCGGCGCCCUUCGGGGGGCUGGCCAGCGCCCGCCAGAGGACCAUAAAACUCCAGUCAGUGAACUUCGCAGUCUGAAAAACAAGUUAAUAAACUAAAACUUUCAACAACGGAUCUCUUGGUUCUGGCAUCGAUGAAGAACGCAGCGAAAUGCGAUAAGUAAUGUGAAUUGCAGAAUUCAGUGAAUCAUCGAAUCUUUGAACGCACAUUGCGCCCCUUGGUAUUCCGAGGGGCAUGCCUGUUCGAGCGUCAUUUCAACCCUCAAGCUCUGCUUGGUAUUGGGCUCCGUCCUCCACGGACGCGCCUUAAAGACCUCGGCGGUGGCGUCUUGCCUCAAGCGUAGUAGAAAACACCUCGCUUUGGAGCGCACGGCGUCGCCCGCCGGACGAACCUUUGAAUUAUUUCUCAAGGUUGACCUCGGAUCAGGUAGGGAUACCCGCUGAACUUAAGCAUAUCAAUAAGCGGAGG